rnacentral:rRNA from 1 species
GUGGGGAAUUUUGGACAAUGGGGGCAACCCUGAUCCAGCAAUGCCGCGUGCAGGAAGAAGGCCUUCGGGUUGUAAACUGCUUUUGUACGGAACGAAAAGGCUCUGGUUAAUACCUGGGGCACAUGACGGUACCGUAAGAAUAAGCACCGGCUAACUACGUGCCAGCAGCCGCGGUAAUACGUAGGGUGCAAGCGUUAAUCGGAAUUACUGGGCGUAAGGCGUGCGCAGGCGGUGUUGUAAGACAGGCGUGAGAUCCCCGGGCUUAACCUGGGAAUGGCGCUUGUGACUGCAGUGCUGGAGUGUGGCAGAGGGGGAUGGAAUUCCGCGUGUAGCAGUGAAAUGCGUAGAUAUGCGGAGGAACACCGAUGGCGAAGGCAAUCCCCUGGGCCUGCACUGACGCUCAUGCACGAAAGCGUGGGGAGCAAACAGGAUUAGAAACCCCAGUAGUCC